UACGUAGGGGGCAAGCGUUGUCCGGAAUCAUUGGGCGUAAAGAGCGUGUAGGCGGCCCGGUAAGUCCGCUGUGAAAGUCCAGGGCUCAACCCUGGGAUGCCGGUGGAUACUGUCGGGCUCGAGUCCGGAAGAGGAGUGUGGAAUUCCUGGUGUAGCGGUGAAAUGCGCAGAUAUCAGGAGGAACACCAAUGGCGAAGGCAGCACUCUGGGACGUGACUGACGCUGAGACGCGAAAGCGUGGAGAGCAAACAGG
rnacentral:rRNA from 1 species